AAAGACUUAGUCCUAACCUUACCGUUGAUUGUUGCUAGACAUAUACAUGCAAGUAUCCGCGCCCCAGUGUAAAUGCCCUUCCCCUACUAUUAAUCGAGGUAAAGGAGUGGGUAUCAGGCACGCCCAUUAUUAGCGGCAGCCCAAGACGCCUUGCUCAGCCACACCCCCACGGGCACUCAGCAGUAAUUAACAUUAAGCAAUAAGUGAAAACUUGACUUAGUCAUAGUAACCUUUAGGGUUGGUAAAUCUUGUGCCAGCCACCGCGGUCAUACAAGAGACCCAAAUUAACUGUAACACGGCGUAAAGAGUGGUAACAUACUAUCACACCAACUAAGAUCAAAAUGCAACUGAGCUGUCAUAAGCCCAAGCUGCACUUAAAAUCACUCUGAAAACAAUCUCAGCAUCCACGAUUGAUAGACCCCACGAAAGCUAAGGCACAAACUGGGAUUAGAUACCCCACUAUGCUUAGCCCUAAAUCUUGGUACUUAGCCUACUAAAGUAUCCGCCCGAGAACUACGAGCACAAACGCUUAAAACUCUAAGGACUUGGCGGUGCCCCAAAUCCACCUAGAGGAGCCUGCUCUAUAAUCGAUAACCCACGAUGCACCUGACCGCUCCUUGCCAAAGCAGCCUACAUACCGCCGUCGCCAGCUUACCUCCUCUGAGAGUACAGCAGUAAGCACAACAGCCACAACCACGCUAAUAAGACAGGUCAAGGUAUAGCCCAUGGAGCGGGAGAAAUGGGCUACACUUUCUAAACUAGAAAACUUACGGAAAGGGGUGUGAAACCUCCCCUAGAAGGCGGAUUUAGUAGUAAAGCAGAAUAAUAAAGCCUGCUUUAAACUGGCACUGGGGCGCGUACAUACCGCCCGUCACCCUCUUCACAAGCUAUUAAGCCUGAUAAUUAACACCCUGCCAAGCCAAAGACGAGGUAAGUCGUAACAAGGUAAGUGUACCGGAAGGUGUACUUAGCAUAC
rnacentral:ncRNA from 1 species